UCUGAGAUCUACAAAUGUGCUUGUUUUUCUCUAAAGGCAGUCAUAGGAGAGAACUGAAAAAGAAAAAAAAAAAAAAAAAAAAAAAAAAAAAAAAAAGAAGACAAGUAAAAAGACUACUGAGACUACUGAAAGCCUGUACUGAAAAUCAAGGAACAAUGACUUCCUUCAACAGUAUCAACAAUGACAAUCAGAUACCUCCUGACAAUUUUGACAACAGCACAGCUGGAUAUCUGACAUGGAGUGGGAUUUAGAAAAAGAAUGAGUUUAGGCAUUGUGAAGGAUUUGACUGACAAUAUGUCUUGGACCAAUGGCAAAUAAAGUAUCUCUACAUUUGAAGGAGG
rnacentral:lncRNA from 1 species